UUUGAAUUGUUUCUUGGCAGUGACUCAGAGUAAGGAAUUUUUGUGGAAGUAAACAAAGUCCACACAACAAUGCUCCCAAGUGAUUGGGUAAGAGUCCUUGGCUGUUAGCACUUCCAGGAGGCCUUUAAAGUUUCUCAUAGCAACGGCUCAGUAGCAAGAUCUGGUCACUCUCGAAGUUCCAGAAAACCAGAGAGCCUCAGCAUCAGACCUGUCUUCAUGGAGAAUGACACUGCAGUCUUGAUGCAAGAGUGGUCCUCUGCCCUUGGCACCCUAUCUGCUAGGAAGCAGCAAAUAUUUCCUGCUCUGAGACCUGAAAUGCCAGCAUAAAAGUCCAACUGUGAUUAAGCUGUACCCUGGAAACAGUAGGAAUUGCUGUCACCUAGCAAGAGUCAUCAGGAUGCUCCAGUCUUCCAUGUACAGAACAGUCAAGUGCACAUCCCAAUUCUCCAGUGGCAUCUAGACUCUCCAAGAGGGACAAUUAUGGAAUUGUCAGUAGUGGGAUGAGGCCUCUCUCCAAAGCAGCUCAGCUUUCUCAGUCCCCAAAGCUCUGCAUUGGACCUCACAAUCCUCUUUGUUCCAACCGAACACCUGGCAGAGAUAUAGUUAAUGAUGCUCCCUUUUGGAGUUUAUUAAUUCCAUAAGCCUCUAUUUGUGAAUGGCUGCAAUAAAGAACAAACAUAAAAGUGAGAAUCGACAGAUGGGGCACUACUCCUUUGAUGUCACACUCAGAUUAAACAGGCAAGUCUUGGGAACAGCUUUCCAAAUUAGGGCAGCCAGCCCUUGUGGGAGAAGGUACUAGGGAGCAGAGUAAGGCCUGUUUUGCAGGCUCCCGCCAAGGCAGAGCUUGUACCCAAUCUCUAGGGACUUGUUGAAAGAAAAACCAGAUCUAAUCAUAUCUUGAAUAUAAAAAUGGGGUCUGUUUUAGACCUUCUGAAUAUCAAGAUAGGUUUCUUAAGGGCAUAUGAGACUAACUUUUAUAGAGAUCUGAAGUUUUGUAAUUCUUUCUUUUUCCCUCCUCCUCUCUCCCAGCUCUCUCUCUCUCUCUCUCUCUCUCUCUCUCUCUCUCUCUCUCUCUCUCUCUGUGUGUGUGUGUGUGUGUGCAUACACCUGGAAGCUCAUAUGCAAUGCCCCCCCCACAAAGACAGAGACAGAGACACACAGACAGAUACACACACAGAGAUAUUAAAGGCACAGAGAGACAAAGACAGACAGACAGACAGAUGCAUGUGUGCAUGUACGCACACACAUGGCUUGAAAACAACAUCAAGGAUGGUAGAGGGAACUUUCUGUGUCAUCGUUAGGGUGUGGUUUGCUUCCACAUCUGGAGGACUUUAUCUUCUGUAAAGAAUUCUUGGGACUAGUCAUGGGACUCAC
rnacentral:lncRNA from 1 species